CUUGUCAUGCAAUAAGGUGUUUGCCACGUAUUAUUCCAAAUGCAAAUAGCUAAACAAGAUCAGAAGAAUUUGAAAAAUUUGCCAAAACCCCAGUCUCAUACCAGAUUCGCUACAUGGGCAAGAAGAUAUGUGAUACUUACAUUAAUUUCUACAAGAAUCUGAAAGUGAAGGUGAUACAAACAGGAAGCAGGGAAAUACUAGCUCCACCGGCAGGAGAGCAGAGCGGAGCGGCAGAGGAGGAGAGAAGCGAAGCAGUUGGAGAAAAGCAGCUUGACUUCAGAGGGAUGGCUUGAUGGCAGGACUUCAGAGAAGAGUUUGGCCAGGCAUGGCCAAACUCCAGGGGAAGAUUAUGUGCUCACUCCAUCCCUCUCCAGCUCCCCUUCCCACUGAGAGCCACUUCCAUCGCUCAAUAAAAUUAUCCGCAUACACCACCCUUCAA